GCACAGCCAGCGCCGGCCAGCUUCCUCCUCUGCGGCUGGGUCUCACUCGCAACUCAGGCAGGAGGAGGGGAAAGCCACAGUGCGGAGCCUGAAGCACAGCAGGUGCACAGAACCAGGGCUCUGGGACCAAGGACAGAAACCAAGGACUAAGAAUGAAAGGACACAUGAAUAAACAGAUCACCUCAUCAGACUACAGGAACAUGUUUUAUUUUUCCAGGUUUCUUUUUAAAACGUCUUGAGAUACCCUCAUCAUUUAAAUGCCAAUCCUUCCUGAAGACAAUGGCAUCAUAAAUGAAAAGACACAGAUGAGAGAACAUUCUAAGUGCAGGGCAGGCAGGGAGGAGGACUGUCCUCUCCGAUCCUCCCACCUCCUGUCCCUCUGCCCCAGGACAUCACACCAACAGCCCCACUUCCCCCAGGCCCUCACCCUUCCUACACCCCACCAGAACCUGCAACAGCCAAGGAAAGGAGAUGGGAUGACACCCAAGAAGAUGACAUCACGCUGAGUCACGGCCCAAAUGCCACCAUUUAAACAUAGUCCAAAUGCCCUGCUCUCCUCAAAGUGGGCCCUGAGCUCUCCAGCUUCAGAGACAAGGGCAAGGACGGAAUCACACCCACUGCAAUGAAAGAGCAAGGACCACAAGGCCCAGGGAGGGGAGCCCUGAUCCCAGAGCAUCAAGUGUGGCAGCCUCCCCUCCCCUGCAGAGUUUAACCAAUUAAACUCAAUUGAUCUUUCCUCCUAGAAAAGGCACCACCAGACAAGCAAAGCAGGCAGCCAGGAAACGGUGGGAGCUCUCAGGCCAGGGGCCAGGUCUGCGCUCAGUACAGUGGUUACAAAUACCCUGAGUAUCUGAACAAGACCAAAUUUCAAACCACCUGCCUUAUUUCCUUCAAGCUGGUUCCAAUCAUUUUUCUCUGUAACACAUCUGAGCAGCAGGAAGCUCGAGGAGGACACGCCCCUACCUGCCUGCUGGCUCCAGCUCUGCAGGCACUGGUGCCCCCUGGCGGCGAUGCGCAGGGCCACCAGUCCACCCCCUUCCCCAGAGCAGAAAGCCCAUCGCUAACAAUGCAGGGCCGGCACUCAGUCACAGGGCCCAGUGCAAAGCAGCAGAGAAAAGAAACCGUGUUCACUGUUCUGUCGGGGUUCAACAUCUCCUCCUGUGUUCCAACCACUUCCCCACGAAACCAAGGUAAACAGGGCUUGUCCCCAGGGUUCUGACAGCCCCACAAGCUGACUGCUGACCGCCCCGCACCACUGGGACAGUGUUUACCAGGGCCUGCAGCAUCCCGUCCAUGGUGACGACCCCCUCGAUGGUCUGGAAGGAGGAGCAGGCCAAAGUGCAUAGGCUCCAGUCCAGGAAACUCGCCAUCUUCUUCUGCUUAACGUCGGGCCGCGUGACAAACCUGCCAAAAGGGGACAGACAGGAGCCUCCUGUCCUGACCAGAAGCCCCCACAGGCCCCUCUUCCCUCAAAACAGCCACCGCCGCCCCACGCGAGAUGCUCAGCCAUUGCAGGGAUUACACUGCGGCCAUGUAGAAGGUCUCCGUGUCAGUAAAACAAAGCUGCCACGACUGUCUUCGCCCACCCCGAUCAGGGUACACACCCAGAGACUUGGUCACCGAGGAUUUACCAAACUUUAGGAUGCUGGUUACAAAGGCGAACUCACAUGCCACCCCUGCCGGCCAAGAAGUUGCGUUACGGCGGGUCUGAGAAGAGGGCCCAGGAAUUUCAUAAAAUCUGCACCUCAGAGUGAUCAUCUAAAAUGGAUAACUGGUAUUAUAUACCCUAUCUCAAUGUCCUUGGCCCUGUUUAAAACCCCUUGAUUCUGGAGGGGGCCACAGGAUGAGGGUCACACCUACAGUGACCUGAUCCUCAGCCUGAAGACAACAGCCGGCUGGCACUCACCCUGCAUGUGGGCAGGCACAGCACCUGCAGUGGGGUGGCCCUCAGGACAGGCGAGGUCACAGGCACAGAACGGCCCACAGGGCUGGUAAGCGGCCCUGCUGGGACCCAAAGCCCAACUUGGAGACGUGAGUCACAGCGCCAGCCACUCAGGGGCCACGCACCCUGCUUCCUCCACCCACUCAUCUGCUGAGCAGGCAGGAGGCUGAUGUUCUGUGUGCAGCCUGUAGCGGCCAACUUCCAUUCCUGGGCAAAAUCACACAAGGUGAGUUUCCAAAUUACAGUAAAAACCUAAGGCUCCUUUGAAAGAUUUAAGCAAAUAGGUUAUUUUAUAUUUUUUAUUUUUCUCUCUAAAAAAGAAAAUGUUAUGUUUGCAGCAGAGGUCCAAAAGUACAGAUAAGCAAAAAUGGAAAAUACCUAUCCCACAGAUGUAACACACAGAACGAGACCCUUCUACACAAACUGAAAGAUCUCUGAAUCCUACACUUCCUUCCCUUUUAGGAAAAGUUACAUCACAGACUACAUCUACUUUCAAUGUGGAACUCAGCUAACAUGUGCAGGUGUUUAGAGACCCCACUGUCUUUCUCUCAGGAAGGUAAUCUCCACAAGAGUGAUCAGCAAAACCUUAACUACAGGACUAGACCUACCAGAGGGACAAAGGGCAAAACACCAGUGGGACACAUUGCUGCUCCGGACCCUUGUCAGUACUGUUACCACAGAGUAUCUGGUCUGAGAGUGAAACAGUACGGGUGAAGUGACAAACCCUACUUUAUGUAAGAACUUACUUUGUGUGUGUUUUUAAAUUAAUUAAUGGAAAAGUUAAAUAUUCACAAAAUGGUGAUAGAAUUUAGUUACCUGUAAGAAGGAAAAAAAUCUAUCAUAUAUCCUAUACCAAAAGAAAUUCCAAAUGGAUUAAUAAUUCUAUAUUAAACAAUAAAAAGGUAGAAAAUAUAAAUGAUUCUUUGUAAAAUCUCUUAAUAGGGUAAGCCUUCAAGCAUAAAAGUAAAAAUAACUAAAUAAAUAAAAGGGAAAAAGUUACUAUUUUGACAUUAGAAUUAAAACUUUAAUCCAAAGAAGAAAGUAAAAGGCUACCAACCCACUGGAGGAAGUAUCACACCCUCCUCUAGCUAACAUCCUUCACAGA